UUUACAGGAAUCCAAAAGAAAAGGAGGUAAUGAAACUUACUGUUAAUUCAUCUAACAUAAUGAUCGACUGAAUCUGGCUUCGCUCAAUUUGAUGUUGACAAAAAGUUGUGAAUUGGGUAUAAACACGCGUUAGUCUUCUUCUUUGGAAUGCCCAAUUUUACUAAAGUCGUAGCAGCGAUUCCAUGAGAUCUUUCAUGCGUAAAGCUACGAUAUCUGCCUGGCAGUUAAUAAAAAAUCUUUAAUUUCCAAAUGGUAAAGUUUAACUUGACUAUACCCAUGGCAAUGAACGAACAGAUUUAUAUAGCUUGAAAAUCUCUUUGUGGUGGUAAAUAAGGAUUCACUAGUAACUGGUAUUUAGUUUAGUUUCUGAGUUUUAUUCUUUACACUUCCACGCUGAAGAAUUCUCAGUCAGGAUUCUCUAGAAUUCCCUACUGGGGGAGUUGCAGCGCGAACCAUCGCCAAAAAUAUUAUCUCCGAGCCAACGGCGCGGUUCCGCCCGGGGAUAGGAAAGCAUUAGCGAAAUCAAAUUUAUCAAUAUAAUAGUGGGCGUGGGUUACUGUGCGUGGGUGGUCAUCCUCACUAAUCUCAAAAUAUAGCGGAUAAAUAGCGAACACUCUCAAAAUAUAGCUGUCAUAAAUAGCGAACACUGAUUGGUCCAAUUUAAAAUUUGCAUUGUAACGACUGCACGACGACAGCAAAAUAGUUAGCAAACUUUUUUUUUAUGAUUUCUUGCAAAUAUAUUUCAUUUUUGCAAGAUUUUUUUUCAGAAAAAC